rnacentral:pre_miRNA from 1 species
AGUGUAAUUGCUGGAUCAUGUGGUAAGACUGUACUUAGCUUUAUAAGAAAUUGCCAAACUGUUUUCCAAAGUGGCUGUACCAUUUUUCACUCCCACCAGCAAU